GGCAGGAGAGGAGAGAGACAGAAAGAGGACCUUGGCUCCUAACUGCUCCAGUCCAGAAGAGAUGCAGUCACUUUCUGCUCACAUCCUAUUGGUUGGAACUGGCCACAUGACUCCAGACUCCUGCACCUCCUCAGGUGGCCCAGCCCUGCCUCACCUUCUCAGGGAUGCUGGCUUGGACCCCACCCAAGAGAACAGUUGGCAUCUCCAUCACCUAGCCCAGGCCACUGUCCUGAGCUAAUCAGGAGCUACUCAUGGGCUCUCUUCCCUAGAAACUCCUCGAAGCCAGGGAGAAGGGCGGCUUCAUCUCCAGGUUCCCAGCACCAGGUGGCCCAGAAUGGGCUUUAAUAAGCUCCUGCUUGAAUGAGUGACACCCA
rnacentral:lncRNA from 1 species